AGAGUUUGAUCCUGGCUCAGAAUCAACGCUGGCGGCGUGCCUCAGACAUGCAAGUCGAACGAUUAAAGCUCUCUUCGGAGAGUGCAUAAAGUGGCGCACGGGUGAGUAACACGUAAGUAAUCUACCCUCGGGUGGGGAGUAACAUCGGGAAACCGAUGCUAAUACCGCAUAAUGCAGCGGCACCGCAAGGUGACAGUUGUUAAAGGAGUAAUUCGCCUGAGGAGGAGCUUGCGGCAGAUUAGCUAGUUGGUAAGGUAAUGGCUUACCAAGGCUACGAUCUGUAACCGGUCUAAGAGGACGGUCGGUCACACUGACACUGAAUAACGGGUCAGACUCCUACGGGAGGCAGCAGUCGGGAAUUUUGGGCAAUGGGCGAAAGCCUGACCCAGCAACGCCGCGUGAAGGAUGAAGUAUUUCGGUAUGUAAACUUCGUAAGAAUAGGAAGAAUAAAUGACGGUACUAUUUGUAAGGUCCGGCUAACUACGUGCCAGCAGCCGCGGUAAU
rnacentral:rRNA from 1 species